CGAACGCGUCUUGGUUAUUGAUGUUAGAUGCUUGCAUUUAACUGAUUUAACAUUGAGACGAGUGGCGAACUGGUGAGUAACACGUGGGUAACCUGCCCUUGAAGUAGGGGAUAACACUUGGAAACAGGUGCUAAUACCGUAUAACAACCAAAACCACCUGGUUUUGGUUUAAAAGAUGGCUUCGGCUAUCACUUUAGGAUGGACCCGCGGCGUAUUAGCUUGUUGGUAAGGUAACGGCCUACCAAGGCAAUGAUACGUAGCCGACCUGAGAGGGUAAUCGGCCACAUUGGGACUGAGACACGGCCCAAACUCCUACGGGAGGCAGCAGUAGGGAAUCUUCCACAAUGGACGAAAGUCUGAUGGAGCAACGCCGCGUGAGUGAUGAAGGGUUUCGGCUCGUAAAACUCUGUUGUUGGAGAAGAACAGGUGUGAGAGUAACUGUUCACAUCUUGACGGUAUCCAACCAGAAAGCCACGGCUAACUACGUGCCAGCAGCCGCGGUAAUACGUAGGUGGCAAGCGUUGUCCGGAUUUAUUGGGCGUAAAGCGAGCGCAGGCGGUUUCUUAGGUCUGAUGUGAAAGCCUUCGGCUUAACCGGAGAAGUGCAUCGGAAACCAGGAGACUUGAGUGCAGAAGAGGACAGUGGAACUCCAUGUGUAGCGGUGAAAUGCGUAGAUAUAUGGAAGAACACCAGUGGCGAAGGCGGCUGUCUGGUCUGUAACUGACGCUGAGGCUCGAAAGCAUGGGUAGCGAACAGGAUUAGAUACCCUGGUAGUCCAUGCCGUAAACGAUGAGUGCUAAGUGUUGGAGGGUUUCCGCCCUUCAGUGCUGCAGCUAACGCAUUAAGCACUCCGCCUGGGGAGUACGACCGCAAGGUUGAAACUCAUAGGAAUUGACGGGGGCCCGCACAAGCGGUGGAGCAUGU
rnacentral:rRNA from 1 species